GGUGUUGACAGCGGCCGGCGGAGCAGGAAGUGAGUGCGGAUAAACCGGGACAAACCGGGAUAAACCGGCACAAAACGGGUUAAACCGGGAUAAACGGCAGCACCGGCAUCGGGGGCUCGGCCCGGCGGGACGCGGAGCCAUGAGCCGAGCGCGGAGGGCCCCGGGCCGGGGGGCGGCCAUGGCCAGGCAGGCGGGGCUGCUGGCGGCUCCCGGUGCCGGGGGCGGCCCGGGCGGUGCCGGGGACGCGGCGCUGGAGGCGGAGCUGCUGCUGCUGCUGGGGGGCAGGGAGGCUCCGGAGCGGGGGGAGCCGCCCCCGCCCCCCCAGCGAGGUAAAUCCCCCGACCCCG